GACGAACGCUGGCGGCGUGCUUAACACAUGCAAGUCGAGCGGUAAGGCCCUUUCGGGGGUACACGAGCGGCGAACGGGUGAGUAACACGUGGGUGACCUGCCCUCAGCUCUGGGAUAAGCCUGGGAAAACCGGGUCUAAUACCGGAUAUGACUCCAUGACGCAUGUUGUGGGGUGGAAAGCCUUGUGCGGCUGAGGAUGGGCCCGCGGCCUAUCAGCUUGUUGGUGGGGU
rnacentral:rRNA from 1 species